GUACCCUGGUAGUCCCACGCUGUAAACGAUGUCGACUUGGAGGUUGUUCCCUUGAGGAGUGGCUUCCGGAGCUAACGCGUUAAGUCGACCGCCUGGGGAGUACGGCCGCAAGGUUAAAACUCAAAUGAAUUGACGGGGGCCCGCACAAGCGGUGGAGCAUGUGGUUUAAUUCGAUGCAACGCGAAGAACCUUACCUACUCUUGACAUCCAGAGAACUUAGCAGAGAUGCUUUGGUGCCUUCGGGAACCGUGAGACAGGUGCUGCAUGGCUGUCGUCAGCUCGUGUUGUGAAAUGUUGGGUUAAGUCCCGCAACGAGCGCAACCCUUAUCCUUUGUUGCCAGCGGUUCGGCCGGGAACUCAAAGGAGACUGCCAGUGAUAAACUGGAGGAAGGUGGGGAUGACGUCAAGUCAUCAUGGCCCUUACGAGUAGGGCUACACACGUGCUACAAUGGCAUAUACAAAGAGAAGCGACCUCGCGAGAGCAAGCGGACCUCAUAAAGUAUGUCGUAGUCCGGAUCGGAGUCUGCAACUCGACUCCGUGAAGUCGGAAUCGCUAGUAAUCGUGGAUCAGAAUGCCACGGUGAAUACGUUCCCGGGCCUUGUACACACCGCCCGUCACACCAUGGGAGUGGGUUGCAAAAGAAGUAGGUAGC
rnacentral:rRNA from 1 species